AGGAAGGCUUCCACGGGCAACCGUUCGGGGGCCUUUUUCUUUUGC
rnacentral:antisense_RNA from 1 species